rnacentral:misc_RNA from 1 species
CAGAGAACCUCGCCCUUUUGGGUGAAUCUCCAACCCUAUGUUAUAUUACUUUGUUGCUUUGGCGAGCCGCUUAGGCCACCGGCUUGCGCUGGUGAGUGCUCGCCAGAGAACCCUAAACUCUAAGUUAUUAGUGUCGUCUGAGUACUAUAAAAUAGUUA